rnacentral:rRNA from 1 species
UACGAAGGGUGCAAACGUUGCUCGGAAUUAUUGGGCGUAAAGCGCACGUAGGCGGUAUUGCAAGUCGGAUGUGAAAUCCCUCGGCUUAACCAAGGAAGUGCAUCCGAAACUGCUGUACUUGAGUACGAAAGAGGAUCGCGGAAUUCCCGGUGUAGAGGUGAAAUUCGUAGAUAUCGGGAGGAACACCAGUGGCGAAGGCGGCGAUCUGGGUCGAUACUGACGCUGAGGUGCGAAAGCUAGGGGAGCAAACAGG